GCUCCAAUGGCGUAGUGGUCACUGCACUCGCCUUGCACGCGGGAGACCCGGGUUCGAUUUCCGGCGGGGUCA
rnacentral:tRNA from 1 species